UACGGAGGGUGCAAGCGUUAAUCGGAAUUACUGGGCGUAAAGCGCACGCAGGUGGCUGAGUCAGUCGAUUGUGAAAGCCCUGGGCUUAACCUGGGAAUUGCAGUCGAUACUACUCGGCUCGAGUAUGGGAGAGGGCAGUGGAAUUCCCGGUGUAGCGGUGGAAUGCGUAGAUAUCGGGAGGAACAUCAGUGGCGAAGGCGGCUGCCUGGCCCAAUACUGACACUCAGGUGCGACAGCGUGGGGAGCAAACAGG
rnacentral:rRNA from 1 species